AGUGGCGGACGGGUGAGUAACGCGUGAGGAACCUGCCUUGAAGGGGGGGACAACAGUUGGAAACGACUGCUAAUACCGCAUGACGCAUAGGGAUCGCAUGAUCUUUAUGCCAAAGAUUUAUCGCUUCAAGAUGGCCUCGCGUCUGAUUAGCUAGUUGGCGGGGUAACGGCCCACCAAGGCGACGAUCAGUAGCCGGACUGAGAGGUUGAACGGCCACAUUGGGACUGAGAUACGGCCCAGACUCCUACGGGAGGCAGCAGUGGGGAAUAUUGGGCAAUGGGCGCAAGCCUGACCCAGCAACGCCGCGUGGAGGAAGAAGGUUUUCGGAUUGUAAACUCCUGUCUUAAGGGACGAUAAUGACGGUACCUUAGGAGGAAGCUCCGGCUAACUACGUGCCAGCAGCCGCGGUAAUACGUAGGGAGCGAGCGUUGUCCGGAAUUACUGGGUGUAAAGGGAGCGUAGGCGGGAUUGUAAGUCAGAUGUGAAAACUAUGGGCUUAACCCAUAGACUGCAUUUGAAACUGUAGUUCUUGAGUGAAGUAGAGGUAAGCGGAAUUCCUAGUGUAGCGGUGAAAUGCGUAGAUAUUAGGAGGAACAUCGGUGGCGAAGGCGGCGUACUGGGCUUUUACUGACGCUGAGGCUCGAAAGCGUGGGGAGCAAACAGGAUUAGAUACCCUGGUAGUCCACGCUGUAAACGAUGAUUACUAGGUGUGGGGGGACUGACCCCUUCCGUGCCGCAGUUAACACAAUAAGUAAUCCACCUGGGGAGUACGACCGCAAGGUUGAAACUCAAAGGAAUUGACGGGGGCCCGCACAAGCAGUGGAGUAUGUGGUUUAAUUCGAAGCAACGCGAAGAACCUUACCAGGUCUUGACAUCGAGUGACGAGCUAAGAGAUUAGCUUUCCUUUCGAGGCACGAAGACAGGUGGUGCAUGGUUGUCGUCAGCUCGUGUCGUGAGAUGUUGGGUUAAGUCCCGCAACGAGCGCAACCCUUAUUUUCAGUUACUAACACGUAGAGGUGAGGACUCUGAAGAGACUGCCGGGGACAACUCGGAGGAAGGUGGGGACGACGUCAAAUCAUCAUGCCCCUUAUGACCUGGGCUACACACGUGCUACAAUGGCCACCACAGAGAGGGGCGAACCUGCAAGGGGGAGCGGAUCUCAAAAAAGUGGUCCCAGUUCGGAUUGUGGGCUGCAACCCGCCCACAUGAAGUCGGAGUUGCUAGUAAUCGCGGAUCAGCAUGCCGCGGUGAAUACGUUCCCGGGCCUUGUACACACCGCCCGUCA
rnacentral:rRNA from 1 species